rnacentral:rRNA from 1 species
UACAGAGGGGGCAAGCGUUGUUCGGAAUUACUGGGCGUAAAGGGCGCGUAGGCGGCGUGCUAAGUCGAACGUGAAAUCCCCGGGCUCAACCCGGGAACUGCGUCCGAGACUGGCAGGCUUGAAUCCGGGAGAGGGAUGUGGAAUUCCUGGUGUAGCAGUGAAAUGCGUAGAUAUCAGGAGGAACACCGAUGGCGAAGGCAGGUCUCUGGGCUGACACUGACGCUCAUGCACGAAAGCGUGGGGAGCAAACAGG